rnacentral:lncRNA from 1 species
AGGCUUUAGUGAGAGAAAGCUCGCUUCUGCAGAAGAGCCAGCCUUCCUACCAAAGGAAACAAACAUCACGGUUCUUUCAGAUUCAGAAGAAGCAUGAAGCUCUGCAACCUUCUUUAAGAAGUGGAUCGUCGCAGCUCACCAUCUUCUUCAGAUCGCCACAGUUAGAAUAAUUAUCUUCAUAUUCACAACUAUUGGCUGAAAUAGAGAAUAAAAACAUCCCUUA